rnacentral:rRNA from 1 species
CCGAGCACGCCACGUGAGUGAAGAAGGUUUUCGGAUCGUAAAGCUCUGUUGUCAGCAAAGAACAGGAGAAAGAGGCAAAUGCUUUUUCUAUGACGGUUUAGCUGACCAGAAAGCCCACGGCUAACUAUCGUGCCAGCAGCCGCGGUAAUUACGUAAGGUGGCAAGCGUUGUCCGGAUUUAUUGGGCGUAAAGCGAAGCGCAGGCGGUGAUUUAAGUCUGAUGUGAAAGGCCCCCCAGCUCAACUGGGGAGGGGUCAUUUGGAAAACUGGAUCACUUGAGUGCAGAAGAGGAGAGUGGAAUUCCAUGUGUUAGCGGUGAAAAUGCGUAGAUAUAUGUGAGGAACACCAGUGGCGAAGGCGGCUCUCUGGUCUGUAACUGACGCUGAGGCUCGAAAGCGUGGGUAGCAAACAGGAUUAGAUACCCUGGUAGUCCACGCCGUAAACGAUGAGUGCUAAGUGUUGGAGGGUUUCCGCCCUUCAGUGCUGCAGUUAACGCAUUAAGCACUCCGCCUGGGGAGUACGACCGCAAGGUUGAAACUCAAAGGAAUUGACGGGGCCCGCACAAGCGGUGGAGCAUGUGGUUUAAUUCGAAGCAACGCGAAGAACCUUACCAGGUCUUGACAUCCUUUGACCGCCCUAGAGAUAGGGUUUCCCCUUCGGGGGCAAAGUGACAGGUGGUGCAUGGUUGUCGUCAGCUCGUGUCGUGAGAUGUUGGGUUAAGUCCCGUAGCGAGCGCAACCCUUAUUGUUAGUUGCCAGCAUUGCGUUGGGCACUCUAGCAAGACUGCCGGUGACAAACCGGAGGAAGGCGGGGAUGACGUCAAAUCAUCAUGCCCCUUUAUGACCUGGGCUACACACGUGC